AGCCCCGUGGUCCAUCGGCUCACGACGCCUGCGUCACAAGCAGGAAAGGGCGGUUCGAUUCCGUCCGGGGCUA
rnacentral:tRNA from 1 species